rnacentral:lncRNA from 1 species
CUAGAGCUUGCAAACUACUGUUAAGACUACAGAGGCAUUUUGUGGACAAUCCCAGACAGAGCAGCUGCUGAGAACUGCACCUGGGUACACCAUGCCUCAGGUUGUCUCCAAAGAAGCUGUGGGGAUGCCUCCUGGGCAGGCACUGACAGAAAACCCACCAAGUAUUUGUCGGUGGGCUUGCAAGUUUAAAAAUGCCUUCUUACUUCAUGUCCUCACUUCCCUUAUCCAAGGCUGAAUUCCUGACCUCAGGUUUGCCCUUAUGGGCCAAUCAAGAACUGAUCACUCUUCUCCAUUAAUAAUGUUAAUCUCCUGUGCUGGAUUCUAGCUAGAAGCAAUCUCCGUUGCAAUACCUCAGAGCUUCUAAAGGGCUUUUGCCUUUGGUCAGAUUUCCAUGUCUAAGCCCAGGAUUUCUCGGCAGAGGACUCCUAAGAUUCUUCCCAGCAGAAAUGCAAGACUUUUGUGCAUGUUGAAAGGUCAUUUCUUUGCACGUCCGGCACUUUUCAUUGCUGUCUCUACCAAAUUUGUAUUUAUGUCCUGGGCUUUGCUGUCUGAAGCUCCAAGGAUGCCAGCAAUGGGACUGUGAGGUGAGCUCUUGAUAGAGGCUUUUCUAGGCAGGCCUGGGGUCCCUUGGACAAGUUGCUCCUUGGGAUGGAGAUUCAGGAAGCUGCUGAUGGGGGUGGCUUGUGGGACUGCAUGAGAAGGAGGGCAGUGGUAAGUGCUGACUGCUGGGCCUGGUGUACUUUCCAACUGGGGGUUGGAUGUGCAGUAC